UUUACCGGAGUACUAUGAAUAUUUAAAGAUUUAAAACUCAAAGAACUUGGCGGUGUUUUAGACCACUCAGGGGAACCUGUCUCGUAAUCGACAAUCCACGUUGUACCUGACCUUUUUUUGUUUUCAGUUUGUAUACCGUUGUCGUCAGGUAACUUUUUAGAAAUUAGAAGUUAGCAGUAAAAAUAUUGAUGAUUUAGUACGUCAAAUCAAGGUGCAGCUAAUAAAAAGGGGAGGAUGGGUUACAAUUAUAUGAUUUAUAAUAACGGAUAAACAUACGAAUGUAUGUUAAAUUAUAAGGCGGACUUGAAAGUAAAUUGGAAUAUGUAAGUAAUUUGAAUGAGGCUCUGAAACGUGU
rnacentral:rRNA from 1 species